rnacentral:lncRNA from 1 species
GGGGGGAUGGGGGGCAGGGUGGGGGGCUGGGGUGUGGGGUGGGGCUGUGGGGCUGGGCUGUGGGGCUGGGCUGUGGGGAUGAUCCAUGGGGUUGAGCUGUGGGGCUAAGGUUUGGGGUUGCGCUAUGGGGCUGAGCUGUGGGGCAUGCCAUGGGGCACGCUGUGGGGCAGAGCCAUAGGGUAGAACUGUGGGGCUGGGUUAUGGGUCUCACCAUGGGUCCCUCCAUGGGGCAGAGCCAUGGGUCCCGCUAUGGGGCUGGGUUAUGGGUCACACUAUAGGUCCCGCCAUGGGUCCUGCUGUGGGGCUAGGCUAUGGGUCCCACCAUGGGUUCCGCUAUGGGGCAGGGUUAUGGGUCCCGCUGUGGGGCAUAUCUAUGGGUCAUGCUGUGGGUCACGCUGUGGGGCUGGGCUAUGGGUCUCGUUGUGGGGCAGAGCCACGGGUCCCACUAUAGGUCCUGCCAUGGGGCUGGGUUAUGGGUCCCACCAUGGGUCCCACCAUGGGUCCCACUAUAGGUCUCACUAUAGGUCCCGCUAUGGGGCAGAACCAUGGGUCCCACUAUGGGUCCCACUAUGGGUCCUGCUAUGGGGCUGGGUUAUGGGUCCCACUAUGGGUCCCACUAUAGGUCUCACUAUGGGUCCCGCUAUGGGGCAGAGCCAAGUGUCUCACUAUGGGUUCUGCUAUGGGGCAGAUCCAUGGGUCCCGCCGUGGGUCCUGCCCCCUAACCCCCCCCCGUGUCCCCCCAGGUGCGCAGCCGGUGUGACGGGGCGCUGUACGCGGUGAAGGUGACCUCGCGCCCCUUCCGCGGGCCCCGCGACCGGCGCCGGGCGCUGGCGGAGGCGGGGAGGCAGCGCGCCGUGGGGCGGCACCCCCAAUGUGUGGGGCUGGUGGCGGCCUGGGAGGAGCGGGGGGUGCUGUACCUGCAGAGCGAGCUGUGCCCGGGGGGCAGCCUGGGGGGGCUGCUGGGGGGCCCCCCGCCCCCCGCCUGGCGAAUUUUGGGGUACCUCUGGGACCUGCUGCAGGCCCUGAGCCACCUCCACGGGCGCCGCAUGGCC